GCAUAUCAAUAAGCGGAGGAAAAGAAACCAACAGGGAUUGCCCUAGUAACGGCGAGUGAAGCGGCAACAGCUCAAAUUUGAAAUCUGGCUUCGGCCCGAGUUGUAAUUUGCAGAGGAUGUUUAUGGUGCGGUACCUUCCGAGUUCCCUGGAACGGGACGCCACAGAGGGUGAGAGCCCCGUCUGGUUGGAUACUAAACCUGUGUUAAACUCCUUCAACGAGUCGAGUAGUUUGGGAAUGCUGCUCUAAAUGGGAGGUAAAUCUCUUCUAAAGCUAAAUACUGGCCAGAGACCGAUAGCGCACAAGUAGAGUGAUCGAAAGAUGAAAAGCACCUUGAAAAGGGGGUUAAACAGUACGUGAAAUUGUUGAAAGGGAAGCGUUUAUGACCAGACUUGUGUCGUGUGGCUCAUCCGAGGUUCUCCCCGGUGCACUCCACGCGGCUCAGGCCAACAUCGGUUCUUGUUGGAGGAUAAGAACAGUAGGAACGUAGCUCUCCUUCGGGGGAGUGUUAUAGCCUAUUGUACGAUACUCUGACGGGGACCGAGGACCGCGCUUCGGCUAGGAUGUUGGCGUAAUGGUCAUUAGCGACCCGUCUUGAAACACGGACCAAGGAGUCGUCCAUUAGAGCGAGCGUUUGGGUGUAAAACCCGCACGCGUAAUGAAAGUGAAAUUAGGUGAGAGCUUCGGCGCAUCAUCGACCGAUCCUGAAGUUUACGGAUGGAUUUGAGUAAGAGUUUUAACGGACGGACCCGAAAGACAGUGAACUAUGCUUGAAUAGGGUGAAGCCAGAGGAAACUCUGGUGGAGGCUCGCAGCGGUUCUGACGUGCAAAUCGAUCGUCAAAUUUGAGCAUGGGGCGAAAGACUAAUCGAA
rnacentral:rRNA from 1 species